rnacentral:rRNA from 1 species
UACGUAGGGUCCGAGCGUUAAUCGGAAUUACUGGGCGUAAAGCGUGCGCAGGCGGUUUCGUAAGUCUGUCGUGAAAGCCCCGGGCUCAACCUGGGAAUUGCGAUGGAGACUGCAAGGCUUGAAUCUGGCAGAGGGGGGUAGAAUUCCACGUGUAGCAGUGAAAUGCGUAGAGAUGUGGAGGAACACCGAUGGCGAAGGCAGCCCCCCUGGGUCAAGAUUGACGCUCAUGCACGAAAGCGUGGGGAGCAAACAGG